UGAGGAACAUGACUUUCGGCGGGGGAUAGCCGGCCCAACGGCCGGGUAAUACCGCGUACGACCUUUUGGGGACAUCCCCGAUUGGUGAAAGCAGCAAUGCGCCGAAAGAGUGCCUCGCGGCCUAUCAGCUAGUUGGUGGGGUAAUGGCUCACCAAGGCGACGACGGGUAGCUGGUCUGAGAGGAUGGCCAGCCACAUUGGAACUGAGACACGGCCCAGACUCCUACGGGAGGCAG
rnacentral:rRNA from 1 species